ACUACUUAUUUGUUAAAAAUACUAUGCUGUUAUUGGUUGACAUGGUAAAAAUAACAAGCAUUCAUGGUAAAGCUGUCUCAGAAAAUUUAGAUUGUGCAAAGGACGCCAUUGGUGUGUAUCGUAAGAGCGUUGAAAAAAGAAAAUUCACCUAACCCAUUUAGAAUACAGUUUAUUAGUAUACGAUAGGCAUACAAAUGAUUCAUGGCGAAUUCAAUAGUUCAGAUCUUGGUUUCCAUCAUUUAAAAAACUUCAAAUAUCAGCUCAACAGAGAAAAUUUACAGCGGAGUAGUUACUCGGCAACUUGAUUUCGAAGUGUCUCAAAAGACGAAAGCAGCUAUAUAAUAUCCAGAUUGUUACGUUUUCAAGAACUUCAUUCUCUGAAUGCAUCCAACAUGAAAGCUGCGACCGAUCCGUUUCGAAAGAUAACUAUUUUGUUAUAUUUUUCACUACUACCAUUUUUCUUUGCGAAUACCUUCAGACAGAAAAAC